rnacentral:lncRNA from 1 species
AAAAAUAUAAUAUUUAAUAUACUAAAAUGGGUUUUCUUCUUUCUCUUUGUUAUUACAUCCUCUCUCUUUUCCAAUUUAGAGUUACCAUAUUGACCACUAACCUCCACCUUCCUGAUUACAUUUGCACCCUUCUGGGAUUCCAUCAUCGUUCUUUAUCGGUCGUCAUCAAAUUGUAUCAUCAUCCUCUCUUCAGCUACAAGUCUCAUGCACCGUCCUAUAAGAGUAAAAUGAGCUUUUCCACAAACAAACCAAAAGCAUCCUAAAUUUCAAAAAGGAUUAAGAUAUAAUUAUCUCUUCCAAAGUUGAAUUUGAUUUCCUCUAAAACUAGGUUAGCUUCAGC